UGGAGCAAACUAAAGAAAAGGAAAAUAAAAUCCUCUCUUCUACCGGUGGAACUUAGAAGGAAAGUAAAAUCUUCAGUCUCCCCCUUCUCAAAUUCUUCAAUCUUUUGGAGCAAAUUUUAAAUUAUCUCACCUCAAUUAUUCUCCAAACUGGGUUGCAGUUACAGGCAAAGAUCAUGGAUCAUCAUCAAUAUGGAGGAGGAAGCUGGAGUAUGAUCCCCAAUAUUCCUACCCAUACCAACUUAUCUACACCCUCCACGCAAGAUCCUCUCUUUCUAUCUUCGCAGCCCCAGAACCAACAGCAAUUUAAUCUUCAGCAACAACAAACACAACAACAACAAUUCGGCCUUCAUCAUCAACAACAACAGCAACAGUUUCAGUCACCACAACACCAACAAUUCAUUCAACAAUCUCCCCAGCAACAGCAACAGUUUGUUCACCCUUCCCCGCAACAACAACUACAACAACAACAACAAUUUGUCCAUCCCUCGCCACAACAACAAUCACAACAACAACAACAACCACAACAACAGCAACAGUAUGUACAUCCUUCACCGCAACAGCAGCAGCAACAAUUUGUUCAACCUUCGCCGCAACAACAGCAGCAACAGUUUGUUCAUCCCUCACCACAACAACAGCAACAAUUUGUUCCUCCUUCGCCCCAACAGCAGCCACAGUUUGUUCCUCCUUCUCCCCAACAGCAGCAACAACAAUUUGUGCAACAAUCUCCUCAACAGCAACAGCAGCAGCCGUCGCAAAUACAAACACAGAGGUUUCAACAGCAACAACAAUACGUGCAGCAAUCUCCUCAACAACAGCAACAACAAUUUCAGCAACCAUCACAAUUUCAGCAGCAAACACAACAGCUGCAACAACCACAACAACAAUUUGUGCAUCAAUCACCACAACAAUCACAGCAACAGCAACUGCAGUCACCACCACAGCAAUCGCAGUCGCAGUCGCAGUCACAGUCACAGCCGCAGCAACAUCAGUCGCUUGCUUCUCACUUCCACCUCUUAAACUUGGUGGAAAAUCUAGCUGAUGCAAUUGAGAACGGGAAUCGGGAUCAGCAUGCUAAUACUUCGAUUGGUGAGCUGAACAGCCGCUUUGAGAAGUGCCAACAACUUUUGAACUCUAUUGCGGGGACAAUUAAUUCAAAAGCCAUGACUGUAGAAGGGCAAAAGCGCAAGCUUGAAGAAAGCGAGCGAUUGCUUCUUCAAAGGAGGGAUUUGAUUUCCAAUUAUAAAAGUUCUGUUGAAGAGCUGAUUAAGUCAGAACCUUGAUACAUAUCCAAACUCCAAUUUUGGUGGAGUAGGUAAAUUGCAGCUGGCUUGGGCCUAAUUGAAUUCGUUACACAUCCAUGGGUUCAUCAAAACAUUAGGAUGUGUCAAUAGGCAGUGGGAAGCUCAGGAGACAUUGGAAGGACUCUUGGAAACUUAGGACAAGAUCUAUCUCAGUUAGAUUUUCAAGAAAACGUCAUUGAAUCAGGCUUUGGAUUUUGUGUAUGCUCUGGUUUGCAAUAACUCCAGGCUUGUCCUCAGAUAAUAUAUUUUCAAGUCCGGCAAUCUCUAAAUGUUGCUAGCAGAGGUUGGAACGUUGGUGAUGAUGGUGUUUGUGAAGCUACAGCCUUGGAAUCUAUACCUCAUUAAACAAAUAAUGCCCCGUUUGAUCUGAUGAAAUGUUGUAUCUGUAGAAGUCAUAAUAAUCAGACUGAACGGGGCACCAUGUUCAUUUUUAGCUGUACGGAGUAAUAAAGAUCAUUAUUUUAAUCAGAGUCAGCGUGUUCAUUUUUAGCUGUACGAGAGUAAUAAAAAAAAAAUCUUCGUUUAGCUGCGCUGCUGCGUGUUUAGAAGAGUGUUGUUUUCUUUCAAGUUACAAUAAUUUUGACUGUAUACUUUCAAUUAGGUCUCAGGCUCUCAGCCUCUUAUCUGUAAUAUCAUUGUCACAGUAUGUACCGAAAAAGUGACAAGGGAAUUUCUGGUUCUGGUGAUA